rnacentral:lncRNA from 1 species
CAGGUGUGGUCCUUAUUUCUAGUUUGGUGUCAUCAUUAUCAAUCAGGCCAUCAUCUAUUAAAUAGAUAUCCCAGAUGUUUUGUUAAGUGCUUUGCUUGCAUUAUCAAUUAAAAUUGUUACAACUGUGUAUUAUUAUUAUUAUUUCUAUCUUAUAGAUGGGGAGACUGUGGCUCAAUGAGGUCAAACAAUUUGCAGUCAGGGAGUAGGGAUGCUUUGAAUAUGGCCAUCAUCUCACUGGCUCACUGUGGGGGAGUGAUGCCAGGAGGACUUCUGUUCCACCAUCUUGCUGAUGUUACUCUCCCUCACUAAAACAUUGUGUGUGCAACUAGGGUCAUCUGGGCAGCUGGAACCCAUUCAAGAAACCACAUUGUUCCUGCUGUGACAAUUUCUCAGGCUUCCCUUGUUUUUGAUGACCUUGACAUUUAUGAGGAGAAACAUAUUGUUUUGGCACUCUCUUUUAGCUCUUUUGAAAUGCUUUCCAGAAAAGAAAGCAAGCAAUAAAGGUUACUUUGUCCCUGUGCCUCAGAUGGACUUAUUUACCAGUGAAGAUUAAACCCAAAGAAC